CAUGUCUUUUUGAAAAAAAUAAAAAGUCUAGUCUGCUCAAUGAAUAUAUUUUUAAAUAGCUGCAGUAUUUUGACUGUACAAAGGUAGCAUAAUAAAUAGUUUUUUAAUUGAAAGCUGGAAUGAAGGAUUGGACGAGAAAAUUACUGUCUCAGUAUUACUUAAAUUUGAAAUUAACUUUUUAGUUAAAAGGCUAAAAUAGUUUUGAAAGACGAGAAGACCCUAUAGAGUUUUAUAGUUUAUAAAUUUUAUUUGUUUAGGAUUAUUAUUAUUUGAAUAAGUAUAAAUUAUUUGGUUGGGGUGAUUAAAAAAUUGAUUAAACUUUUUUAUUUAAUAAAUUAUUUAUAUAUAAAUUUUUAAUCUAUAUAUUAAAAUUAAAAUAAAUUACCUUAGGGAUAACAGCGUAAUAAAUUUUUAAAGUUCUUAUUUAAAAAUUUGUUUGCGACCUCGAUGUUGGAUUAAAAUUAAUUUUUGGCGCAGGAGCUAAAUAUUUAAGUCUGUUCGACUUUUAAAAUUUUACAUGAUCUGAGU
rnacentral:rRNA from 1 species